rnacentral:rRNA from 1 species
GCUCAAAUUUGAAAUCCUACUAUUUUAUAGUACGAAUUGUAGUUUAGAGAAAUGUUUUCGAGGUUAUUGGCUAGUACAAGUUCUUUGGAACAAGACAUCAUAGAGGGUGACAAUCCCGUCUACGACUAGUUUAAUAAUUUCAUAUGAUACAUUUUCUAAGAGUCGGUUUGUUUGGGAAUGCAGACCAAAAUGGGUGGUAAAUACCAUCUAAAGCUAAAUAUUGGCGAGAGACCGAUAGCGAACAAGUACCGUGAGGGAAAGAUGAAAAGAACUUUGAAAAGAGAGUUAAAUAGUACGUGAAAUUGUCAAAAGGGAAACGUUUGAAACCAGUAUUGUGAGUAGUAUUUCAAUUAUACCCUAGGUAUAACUUAUUAUACUAUUUACAAGUCAACAUCAGUUUGAUUUGAUAUAAAAAGUUAUAGUCAUGUAGCCUUUUAGGUAUUAUAGGUUAUAAUAAUGUAUUGAAUUAGACUGAGGACUGCAGUGUUAUUUAAAGAUCCUUAUCGCCUAUGAAGUAAGUUAUAAAGAUUACUUGUAAAUUUUAUGAUAUUAUGAUUAGUACGGUUUGGUAUUAUACCAACGCUUAGGAUGUUGACGAAAUGGUUUUAAGCGACCCGUCUUGAAACACGGACCAAGGAGUCUAACAAAUAUGCGAGUAUUUGGGUGGUAAACCCUUAUGCGUAGUGAAAGCGAAAAGGUGGGAUACUUUACAGUUGCACCAUCGACCGCGUUAGAUUAUUACUAUCUCAGCGUGAGUAUGAGCAUAUUUGCUGGGACCCGAAAGAUGGUGAACUAUGCCUGAAUAGGGUGAAGUCAGAGG